AUCAGAAUUAAUUUUAUCUUGCACUGAAGUAUGUGGGAGGUAAUUCUGCAAAUCUCACAGGAAGCUCUAGAAUAUUUUUUUUGACAGAUAAGCAAAGACUCUUCUUAAUAAUAUAGCUAAAGAAGAUGGUAAAAGUAUCACUCCUUCACUCAGUGUACCAUAACUACUGUCAUUAUGGUUAUUACUUUUGGCGGAGCUCAAUUAACACUAACUGGGUCAUUUUCUAUAGUGAGAAUGUUUCGGUUUUCCAAUUGAAUUUCAAAUUGAAAGGCAAAUUGCUGAAUAGGAAAGAUUCUCCAAGUUUGCUAAACUUUCAGUUCAAGUGGUCUACAUUUUUAAAUUUACUUUGGAUCCCUACAAAUCUCGCUUUUGUGUAAAUAUUUACUGAAUGUAUUUUGUAAGGAGCAGGAGGGUGACCAACUUUACCUGCAAGUGGGUGGAUUUAGCACCACGACAGUUACAAUAUACUGUAUUAG